AGCCUGGAACCUAUCCCAGGGGACUUGGGGCACAAUGUUGGGGACACCCUAGACAGGGUGCAAACCCAUCGCAGGGCACUAUUCACACUCUACUGACAAUUUCGAGAUUGUCCAAUCAGCCUACAAAUGCCUGUCUUUGGACUGGAGGAGGAAACCCCUGAAGCACACAGAGCAGAGACCUGAUUGAGAACUUGCAAAUGCCUUGGUAGAAGAGUGGAGUAACAGCUCACAGCAAGAACUGACAAAUCUGGUGCAGUCCAUGAGGAUGAGAUGCACUGUAGUACAUAAAGCAGCUGGUGGACAACAGAUACUGACUGUUACUUUUGAUAUUGACCCCGCUUUGUUCAGGGACUCAUUAUUCCAUUUCUGUUUGUCAAAUGUCUGUGAAACUUGUUCAGUUUAUGUCUCCGUUGUUGAAUGUUUUUAUAUUAAUACAAAUAAUUACGCAUGUUAAGAGAUUUGCUGGAAAUAAAAGCAGUUGUAUGUGC